CGACAAAAUUCAACCUAGCCUCAAUUAGGAAAUUAAGCUGUAACUCCGGUGACGGCCACCGAGACUCCUCCUCAGUAAUAGAGCUAGAGAUCCGAUCUGUAUACACUUCUUAUCGCACCUAAUCUCUCACCAGUGCAAUGUAUACAUGUCCAUGGAGUAAAACUCAGAAGAUCCAGAUCUGUUGCUUUCAGCCAGUUGAUUUGUCAUCUCAAUACCAUCACUCAGCUGGUUGCUAUCCUCAGAAUCUGCAUGUCCCUGGUGAUUAUUAGCUUUCUCCUUCUCUCCAGUUGAAUUGUAAGAAGACUCCACUCUUUGUUUCAUUCAAGUCUAUCACCAUAUUGUGUUGCAUUGCUUCAGCUUCUGCAGGAUUUUCAGUAUUUCUACUAACUUGAUGUUUUUCUGAUGGUUUGUUAUUGUUGUUUGUGGAUUUUGUAUACAUAUCAAGCACUGGUUCAGAUGCAUCAAUGGGGUGCUGCUGUGCAGGACUAUUGCCAAUCACUUCAGUUUCAUCAGGUGGUUUCUUUUCUGUUAUGCAAAUUUCAGCAGUAUCUGCUCCUCUAUCAUACUUCUCAUUGUCUUCUCUCACCCCAAAAGAUUUAGUGAAAGAAGCACAAGAAGAAACUUCCUGAAAUUUGCUUCCCAACUCCUGUUGACUGCCUUCUCCAUCCAUUGUUGUAGUCUUAUCAGCCAUCUCCAAUUCUUUAUGAUUUGACUCCAUGGACUGGUUUGCCACGGCGAUUCAUCUUGCCCCUCUUGUUCUGCACAAAAUCUGAGAUUUUCUCCUGAUUACUACCAAAAGAAGCAACUCCCUCCUUGCUAGCUUGCUCUUUGACAUUCUCACCCUUGCUAGGCAAUAUGCUACUGCUUUGUGUUGCUGCAAUCUCUUUUGUUUGCUCACUCACCUUUUGUUGUAAGGGCUUAUUAGCUAAAUGUUGUGAAAAACUGCCACUGUUUUCUACUUGAUCCUCCACAUUAGCCCUUUCAUUUGUAUCAUCAUAUGCCACUAUAGCAAGUUGCUUGUCUGUUACCAUUACCGCUGGAUCAGUCUCUGAUAAAGCUGCAAAUUUAUUGUUAAUUGGUAGAGAUUUAUCAUUCUCAGCCACCCUUUUUGGUAUAACAUCAACCUUAUCAGUACAGAUGUUCCCCCUAUUAAUCUUAAUAGGAUUCCACUGACCAGGAUUGCCAAUCAUUCGCCCACUAGAAAGCAUCCUCGCUGAAUUGUGAUAUCCCCUUUGCCUUCUGUUUUUAAACUCUUCUUUAUCACUUUGGUUUGGUUUCCCUUGUUCCAUUUCUUCCUUAUUGGUUUCCGUCUCUGCAUUUUUAUGUUGUUGUUGCACUGCAGAAGUUCCAUCAUGGCCUUUCACUUUCCCUUCAUAACUCUGUUCCUGUGUAUGAACUGCAUUGUUGCUUUCUGUUUCUUUCAGAGAUUCCUCUCUUUGGUUUGCAAGUUCAGGGUUAAGAAUUCUACAUUCGUACUUAUUAUGACCCUGCAAUUUGCAUUCCCUACAGUAUUUAGGGAGAUGGUCAUAGUGGAUCUUCACAUCUACAGUCCUUGUUACUCCUGUUGAUUCAUUUUCUAUGUCCAUCCUGAUUGUAGUGGGUAGGUCUGCCAAUAAAUCCACUAAAACUUUAACCCUAGCACAUCUAGGUCUAGUUUUAUUGAUAGUUGCCGCAUCCAAAUGAAUUGGUUUACCCACUGCAGAUGCAAGAGUGAAUAAGGAUUCCUUCACAAAGUAUGUAGGUAAAAGGUUUGGAAAUGAGAUCCAAGCCAUUGCUUUUGAAGUUUCCUCAUCAACUUUGAAUUUGGAGUCAUAUAUGAGUGGUCUCAUCUGAUAGGAAUAUCCAUCUCUAUCACUGAUAUAGUAGACUGGCUUAGAUGUCAAGUUUAUAAAGUCUGCAUAUAAACUUAACCUGAUGAGGACAUGUCUAUUCCUGAAAAAGCCAACUCUACAUUCACCUUUUACUCCACAUUGUGCAGGAAUAAACUUGCGAAGUUGAUCAAUAUCUGGCCAACCAUAGGAGAAUUUCCCAACUACAGCAUACUGAAGAUUUUGAAUUAAAUCCAUCCGAGUCACUUCAUUCUCCGUCCAUUUGACAUAUGGGAUUCCAUUAAGCAUUGAGAUCUGCUUCUGCUCUAUUGGUUGAACA